rnacentral:rRNA from 1 species
UACGUAGGUGACAAGCGUUGUCCGGAUUUACUGGGCGUAAAGGGCGCGUAGGCGGCGCAACAAGUCACUUGUGAAAUCUCCGGGCUUAACCCGGAGCGGUCAAGUGAUACUGUCGUGCUAGAGUGCGGAAGGGGCUACUGGAAUUCUCGGUGUAGCGGUGAAAUGCGUAGAUAUCGAGAGGAACACCUGCGGCGAAGGCGGGUUGCUGGGCUGACACUGACGCUGAACUGCGAAAGCUAGGGGAGCGAACGGG